UCAGAAACCUCGAUCAAUAUCCGCUCACGUGAUCCCAAAUGGGAACCAUAGCAACUGUGAUUUACUGCUAUGAAAAUACUGAAAAAGCUUUAAACAUAUAAUUAAAGGCCUCGUACUAAUUGAUGCAGUACCUCUGCGGACCACUGGGUGUUGACAGCCACUGCAAUAAAGGGCUUUCGGACCAGUAAAGAACUAAAACUGAUAGAGCCAAAUAUCUACACGAGGACUUGGAAUUAGUAAAUUCAGAAAUCAGUGCUCUUCAAAAAGCCUGAUCUCACAGGACGUUACACCAUAACAUCCCUCUAGUAACAGCAUUCAUCUUUCUUCACAUGACACGGCCAAGCAUGCUCAUGUCAUGCUCCAGGGACUCUCCUUCUGGGAGGAUUUUCUCCCUGCCUUUCCUAUCUACUGAUAUCUGCCCUUUUCCUAGUAUCUGAUCCACCCUGAGGAAAAAAACAAACAA